rnacentral:rRNA from 1 species
CGCUGGCGGCGUGCCUAACACAUGCAAGUCGAGCGGAGAAUGCGGAUAUGUUUACAUAGAAGCAUUCUUAGCGGCGGACGGGUGAGUAACACGUGGGUAACCUGCCUCAAAGAGGGGGAUAGCCUUCCGAAAGGAAGAUUAAUACCGCAUAAGCCUGCAGUACCGCAUGGUACAGCAGGAAAAGGAGCAAUCCGCUUUGAGAUGGACCCGCGGCGCAUUAGCUAGUUGGUGAGGUAACGGCUCACCAAGGCGACGAUGCGUAGCCGACCUGAGAGGGUGAUCGGCCACAUUGGAACUGAGACACGGUCCAGACUCCUACGGGAGGCAGCAGUGGGGAAUAUUGCACAAUGGGCGAAAGCCUGAUGCCAGCAACGCCGCGUGAAUGAUGAAGGCCUUCGGGUCGUAAAGUUCUUUGAUCAGGGAUGAUAAUGACAGUACCUGAAAAACAAGCCACGGCUAACUACGUGCCAGCAGCCGC